UGAAUACGAGACGCUAAGGCGUUGAAGUAGUGUAUGUCAUACUUCCAAGAAAAGCUUGCACUGUCAUAGAUAAAAAACGCCUGUACCAUAACCGACACAGGUGGGUAGGUAGAGUAUACUAAGGGGCGCGAGAUAACUCUCUCUAAGGAACUCGGCAAAAUAACUCCGUAACUUCGGGAGAAGGAGUGCCUUAUUUAUAAGGCUGCAAUAACAAGAUCCAAGCAACUGUUUAUCAAAAACACAGGUCUCCGCUAAGUCGUAAGACGAUGUAUGGGGGCUGACGCCUGCCCAGUGCCAGAAGGUUAAAGAAGUUGGUUAGCAAUAGCGAAGCUGAUAACUGAAGCCCUGGUGAACGGCGGCCGUAACAAUAACGGUCCUAAGGUAGCGAAAUUCCUUGUCGGGUAAGUUCCGACCCGCACGAAAGGCGUAAUGAUUUGGAUACUGUCUCGGAGAGGGGCUCGGUGAAAUAGACUUGUCUGUGAAGAUGCGGACUACCUGCACCAGGACAGAAAGACCCUAUGAAGCUUUACUGUAACUUGAAAUUGAAAUUGGACUUUAUUCGCGCAGUAUAGGUGGGAGGCGUUGAUUGUAAUCUUGCGGGAUUAUUGGAGCCAUCAGUGAGAUACCACCCUUGUAAUGUUAGAUUUCUAACUUUGAAUCAUUAUCUGGUCAAAGAACAGUUUCAGGCGGGCAGUUUGACUGGGGCGGUCGCCUCCUAAACGGUAACGGAGGCGUACAAAGGUUUCCUCUGAACGGUUAGAAAUCGUAUCUAGAGUGUAAAGGCAUAAGGAAGCUUGACUGUGAGACCUACAAGUCGAGCAGGGACGAAAGUCGGUCUUAGUGAUCUGACGGUACUGAGUGGAAAGGCCGUCACUCAACGGAUAAAAGUUACUCUAGGAUAACAGGCUGAUCUCCCCCAAGAGUUCACAUCGACGGGGAGGUUUGGCACCUCGAUGUCGGCUCAUCGCAUCCUGGGGCGGUAGUACGUCCCAAGGGUUGGGCUGUUCGCCCAUGAAAGCGGUACGCGAGCUGGGUUCAGAACGUCGUGAGACAGUUCGGUCCAUAUCCGGUGUAGGCGUUAGAAUAUUGAGAGGAGCCUUCUUUAGUACGAGAGGACCGAGAAGGACAUACCUCUGGUGUACCAGUUAUCGUGCCAACGGUAAACGCUGGGUAGCUAUGUAUGGAGUGGAUAACCGCUGAAAGCAUCUAAGUGGGAAGCCCACCUCAAGAUAAGUAUUCUCA
rnacentral:rRNA from 1 species